rnacentral:rRNA from 1 species
UACAGAGGGUGCAAGCGUUAAUCGGAGUUACUGGGCGUAAAGGGCGCGUAGGCGGUUAUAUGUGUGCAAUGUGAAAGCCCCGGGCUUAACCUGGGAAGUGCAAGGCAAACUGUAUAACUGGAGUAUAUGAGAGGGUGGCGGAAUUUCCGGUGUAGCGGUGAAAUGCGUAGAGAUCGGAAGGAACGUCGAUGGCGAAGGCAGCCACCUGGCAUAAUACUGACGCUGAGGCGCGAGAGCGUGGGGAGCGAACAGG